rnacentral:rRNA from 1 species
GACGAACGCUGGCGGCGUGCUUAACACAUGCAAGUCGAACGGUAAGGCCCUUCGGGGUACACGAGUGGCGAACGGGUGAGUAACACGUGGGUGAUCUGCCCUGCACUUCGGGAUAAGCCUGGGAAACUGGGUCUAAUACCGGAUACGACCACUGCCUGCAUGGGUGCUGGAGGAAAGAUUUUGCGGUGUGGGAUGGGGCCGCGGCCUAUCAGCUUGUUGGUGGGGUGAUGGCCUACCAAGGCGACGACGGGUAGCCGGCCUGAGAGGGUGACCGGCCACACUGGGACUGAGAUACGGCCCAGACUCCUACGGGAGGCAGCAGUGGGGAAUAUUGCACAAUGGGCGCAAGCCUGAUGCAGCGACGCCGCGUGAGGGAUGACGGCCUUCGGGUUGUAAACCUCUUUCAGCACCGACGAAGCGCAAGUGACGGUAGGUGCAGAAGAAGGACCGGCCAACUACGUGCCAGCAGCCGCAGUAA